rnacentral:tRNA from 1 species
ACUGGUCUAGCGGUUAGAACGCUGGCCUUGUAAUCCUGGGGUCUCGGGUUCGAUUCCCGGCAGUG